UUUCAAUUAUCAGCUGAUCACAACAUUACUAUUUAUUUUAUAUUACAUAAGAUUUUUGUUCAUUUCAUUAUGUUUGUUUUGAGGGUUAUGUCUUUAUAGAGAGAGAUGCCCGUUAUAGUAAAUGGAAAAUGGCUGUGAAAAGAAGUCUUCGUUGGGCUACUGCCAAAAAGUCUCUUGCAAUGACAGGAGACAUGGAUCUCUUGUCUCUGUUUGCUCGUCUGCAACCACUUGGUCUCCCAAUGAGUACAGUACGCAGGAUACAGGAGAUCAUGUCCAGCACUUCGCAUAACACAUGAUCAUGUAUAAAACUGGUGCAGCACAUAUUAGGAUAAGUGCAGACUAGUGGGCAUGUUUUUAUGUGCCCUUGCAGGGGCAAAAUGUGUUAUGUCUCUUAUAAGUGUUUCCUUGUUUUUAAAAUGAGUUAGGAGAACCCAUAAUCUGGAGAUCAGUAGCAGACAUACAGAUGCUGGGAUGGUGACACUUUUAAAAUGUAUGUGAUGAUUCAUCUAUAAUACAAGCAUUUUUGUGACUA